GGAACCGCUCCCGGGCGGGGGGAGGAGCCGCCCGGCCCCGCCCCCCGGUGCUGCGGCCGCUGCGCAUCCCGGUGAUGCUGCCCCCCAGCCCUGCUAUUUCAUCUGUUUCAUCACCCAUUUCACCAACAGCCCUACAAUCUUUAUUUCAGCCCCAGCCCAGCAGUCGUUACUUCAGCUCUAGCUCCACCCUUACAAACUUCAUUUCAGCCCCCUGCCAGCUGCUCCUGGCGAUACCCGUGAACUAAGAUUGUUAGAAAACAGAUAUUUGUGGAAUAGAACUGUUAAGAUCAAUUUAAGCUGUUUUAACCAUUUAACCGCUGUGCUGCAGAACAAAUACUGAUCUUUUGAGGCAUACUUAGAAGAGGAUGAAGAACUCAUAAAUAAUCUUACCCGAGACGGUUCGGCCUUGUAGUAGCAGCUGCAAAGAAACAAAAAGAUGAGCUGCAAAUUAGCACCAAAACCAGACCAGGCAGGACUUCAAGGACAAGAUCUACGUGACCGCAGGAAUGAGUUCAUGCAGAAGUAAGGGUCGACGGGCAGACACAGGGAAGAAGACUACGAGCCUUCAUCUAAAGAUCCUCAAUGACCACCUGAAGACCAACAGACAUGCACAAGAGACAUUAACAUAUGCUAAUGAGUUCCUGGAAAAGUUAUGAAAAGGAUAAAGAUACGAUAAAAAUGCAAGGAAUAGGCAUGAUUAAGGUAGUAGAAGUGCUUGUUGACUUUGGUUCCAGACACGCACAUUAGGAGGAGCUCUCCCCUGUGUGUCCGGCGCUGUAACGAAGAACGCCUGCUUUCUAAAACUCCAAAAUUGAGUCGUA